UGACCAGAAGCACACUUUCUCCAUGUCUUGUUGAAGGAAAUGAAGUUGUCUAUAUCCAAAUCCGGCAAAACCUGAAAGCCAACCGGCAUAUGAACCGUCGCUGAGGACGGGAAGGAGAAUCCAGAGCUUCUCUCUCUCGAUUCAAUCUCAGCUUUUUCUUCCCCAAUUUCUUCUGAACUUUGCGAGAGACCUAAUUGCUCCUGCAAAUAUAUUUGUUUUUCUGUGUCUUCUAAUUCUCGUGCGUAC
rnacentral:misc_RNA from 1 species